rnacentral:rRNA from 1 species
CGCUAGCGGCAGGCCUAACACAUGCAAGUCGAGGGGUAACAGGGGGCUUGCUCCGCUGACGACCGGCGCACGGGUGCGCACCGCGUAUGGAACCUACCUUGUACAGGGGAAUAGCCCAGGGAAACUUGGAUUAAUGCCCCGUGGUACCAUGACCCGGCAUCGGGAUAUGGUUAAAGCCUUCGGGCGGUACAAGAUGGCCAUGCGUCCCAUUAGUUUGUUGGUAAGGUAACGGCUUACCAAGACUACGAUGGGUAGGGGCCCUGAGAGGGGGAUCCCCCACACUGGUACUGAGACACGGACCANACUCCUACGGGAGGCAGCAGUGAGGAAUAUUGGACAAUGGAGGAGACUCUGAUCCAGCCAUGCCGCGUGCAGGAAGAAUGCCCUAUGGGUAGUAAACUGCUUUUAUACGGGAAGAAAAAGAGCUACGUGUAGCUUACUGACGGUACCGUAAGAAUAAGGACCGGCUAACUCCGUGCCAGCAGCCGCGGUAAUACGGAGGGUCCGAGCGUUAUCCGGAAUUAUUGGGUUUAAAGGGUCCGUAGGCGGGCCGAUAAGUCAGGGGUGAAAGUCUGCCGCUCAACGGUAGAACUGCCUUUGAUACUGUCGGUCUUGAGUUAUAAUGAAGUUGCCGGAAUAUGUAGUGUAGCGGUGAAAUGCAUAGAUAUUACAUAGAACACCGAUUGCGAAGGCAGGUGACUAAUAUAUACUGACGCUGAUGGACGAAAGCGUGGGGAGCGAACAGGAUUAGAUACCCUGGUAGUCCACGCCGUAAACGAUGGAUACUAGCUGUCCGGAACCUUGAGUUCUGGGCGGCCAAGCGAAAGUGAUAAGUAUCCCACCUGGGGAGUACGUUCGCAAGAAUGAAACUCAAAGGAAUUGACGGGGGCCCGCACAAGCGGUGGAGCAUGUGGUUUAAUUCGAUGAUACGCGAGGAACCUUACCAGGGCUUAAAUGCAUAUUGACAGGUCUAGAGAUAGAUUUUCCUUCGGGCAAUUUGCAAGGUGCUGCAUGGUUGUCGUCAGCUCGUGCCGUGAGGUGUCAGGUUAAGUCCUAUAACGAGCGCAACCCCUACCGUUAGUUGCCAGCAUGUCAUGAUGGGGACUCUAACGGGACUGCCGGUGCAAACCGUGAGGAAGGUGGGGAUGACGUCAAAUCAUCACGGCCCUUACGUCCUGGGCCACACACGUGCUACAAUGGCAGGUACAGAGAGCAGCCAUGUCGCAAGGCAGAGCGAAUCUAUAAAACCUGUCACAGUUCGGAUCGGGGUCUGCAACUCGACCCCGUGAAGCUGGAAUCGCUAGUAAUCGGAUAUCAGCCAUGAUCCGGUGAAUACGUUCCCGGGCCUUGUACACACCGCCCGUCAAGCCAUGGAAGCCGGGAGUGCCUGAAGUCCGUCACCGUAAGGAGCGGCCUAGGGCAAGAUCGGUAA